AAGCAAUCGAACCGCGAUUUUCCCAACUGCGCAUGCUCCAAAUCCAAAGAUGGCUGACGAAAGCGAACCGGGCGACUCAGCAUCACAGGUCUUUUCCAGGAUUUUUUUCAGAAGGAGGCAAAAGGCGUUUUGCGCCACAUAGGACAAAAGAAUCUGGGAAGAGUUUUUUGGUGAGCUAUUUCUCCUUGACAAACAAUAUAAGAAGACACCACCAGGAGGAGAGGAACUGCCAUUCAUGCUGACUGGCCUUGGAAAACGCUCACUAACCAUAUCUGAAAACAUGACACAUUCAGAGUUUUCAGAUUUGCUUGUGAGUGCAUAUCCGAGGCUGAGAAAUAUCUAUGGUGGCUGGAUGCUGCACAAGUCCACGGGUGGGAGGGGGCGGCGGAGCUUGGUUGUUAUCUCUCCAGGUCUACAUGGAUACACUGGCCAGCAGCUAAAAGCAGUGAGCGGGAAUGGAAAAUACACAUUGUACAGUUCUCCUUUACUCAAAGAACUUGCUCAAAGCCAAGUGUACAACCUGCAAGAAAAUGGUUCCACUUCCAGUACACAUCAGGGAAUGCAAGACAGAACUUGUAGAUUUGUGCUAUUACACUGAAGAGGAAAACUGCAACACAGGACAUGAAGAUGAAUUCCCAGAUUCCAUUUGCAACCAGUGAGACCAGAUGAAAUUGUUUGUGCCUUUCUGGUUGACUUCAUUGAAGUCCAUGCAGCCACAUACGGAUUACGACCUUCAGAUAAUGACGGCCAUGAGUCAAGUGGAUCAAUACCAGUCAGUCAAAUCCAGACCUUUCAAUGGUAAUAUUGUACAUUAGGUAAUCAUGGUGGUAAAUUAUGUUAUCUGGAUAAUAUACACUAUAAAGCGAUAUUUAAGUAUCGUCUUUUUUUUUUGUUAAAAAGCUUCAUCAUGUAUUAGAGUGUGAUGAAAUGUGGUAAUCCAAAAAGGUGGUAUGUCUGUGACAA